GGCAGCCGCAGGCCGGCACGGCACGGCGGUGCCGGGGGCGCUGCGGCAUGGAUUAUCCCGAUCCCGCCUCGCGGCACGGCGCCUGGGACCUGCCCGGCGAACCCAGCGCCCACGGCGCCGCUUGCUACGAACAGCCGCGCGGCGGAGAGGAGGAAGCGGCGGCGGCGAUGAUGGAGGAGGAGGAGGCGGCGGCGGCGAGCCGCGGUUUGCAGCGUCCCGUCGCCCAGCCGUCCCGCCGCCCCCAGCAGUGCUUAGCACCGGCACUCGCCGCGCUCUCUACCUCCUCUUCCGAGGGGGAGUUGGAUGCCGCGGCCGCUCUGCCGCGGGAGCCCAGCCUGAGCGAUGAGGCCGGCGGCGGCGGCGGUUUCGACUCGGCCGAGUCCGGAGCCUCGCUACGCUACUCCACGGGCACGGGCGGCGAGUACAGCGAGGGCGAGGGAGCGGGGCUGGCGAGCAGCGAGAGCGGCGGCAGCGGCUUCUACCUCGCGGCGGCCGCGCUGCCCGAGAGAAGGCGGCCGGGCGGCGGCCGGCCCCGCUAUGAGGUGGUGCGGGAGCUGAGUGCCGAGGAUGUGCGCUGGUUCUACCGGGAGGACCGGAAGCCGUGGAAGCCUUUCAUCGGCUACGACUCGCUGCGGAUCGAGCUGGCCUACCGCGCCCUCGGACCCGAGCCGCGGGAGGGCGAGGCGGCGGCAGUGGAGCCGGUGUGCGUGCGGAGCGGGCUCUAUGAGGUGGACGUGGCCAACGCGGAGUGCUACCCCGUCUACUGGAACCAAUCGGAAAAGAUCCCUGUGAUGCGUGGACAGUGGUUUAUUGAUGGCACAUGGCAACCUCUGGAAGAGGAGGAAGGUAACUUAAUAGAACAGGAGCAUCUCAACUGCUUCAAAGGCCAGCAACUGCAAGAGAGCUUUGAUAUAGAAGAACAGACAAAACCUGUUGACAGGAAGGAGGUUCUCUACUACCUACCUUCUUCCUCCCUCCCUUCUUUGUUCAAAUGGAGAGGAUAUAAGAAUUCAGAUGCUGCAUGUCUUAAGCGAAAGCAUUCCGAAGCUAUUCAUAGUCUGAAGUUGAGUCGCAACCAUGUGGACUGGCACAGUGUGGAUGAAGUGUAUCUUUACAGUGAUGCAACAACAUCUAAAAUCGCAAGAACUGUUACACAAAAGCUGGGGAUCUCCAAAGCUUUAAGUAGUGGGACAAGGCUACAUAGAGGCUAUGUAGAAGAAGCUACAUUAGAAGACAAGCCACCACAAAUUAGUCACAUUGUGUUUGUUGUGCAUGGUAUUGGGCAGAAAAUGGACCAAGGAAGGAUCAUCAAAAAUACAGCUAUGAUGCGAGAUGCUGCAAGAAAAAUAGAAGAAAAGUAUUUUUCUGAUCUUUCAACGCUUGUUGAAUUUCUUCCAGUUGAAUGGAGAUCGAAACUUACCCUCGAUGGAGACACUGUGGACUCCAUUACUCCAGAUAAAGUAAGAGGUUUAAGGGACAUGCUGAACAGCAGUGCAAUGGAUAUCAUGUAUUACACCAGUCCUCUUUAUAGAGACGAACUGGUGAAAGGGUUGCAGCAGGAGCUGAACCGGCUAUACACACUCUUCUGUGCCCGGAAUCCAGAGUUUGAGGAGAAAGGAGGGAAAGUCUCAAUUGUGUCCCACUCGCUGGGCUGUGUCAUCACCUACGACAUCAUGACUGGCUGGAACCCCGUCAGGUUUUAUGAACACUUGCUGCAGAAGGAAGAGGAGGAGCUUCAAGACCGCUGGAUGAGCUAUGAGGAGCAACAUUUACUUGAAGAACUUCACAUAACUAAAAACCGGUUGCAAGAGAUAAGAGAGAGGUUACGUGGGUUAAAGGCAUCCACCAUAUCAGAACCACCUGUCUUAAAAUUUAAGGUUGAGAAUUUCUUCUGUAUGGGAUCUCCAUUAGCAGUGUUUUUGGCAUUGCGUGGCAUCCGUCCAGGAAACUCUGGUAGUCAAGACCAUAUUCUGCCCAGAACAAUUUGUAACCGCUUACUAAAUAUUUUUCACCCAACAGAUCCAGUGGCCUAUAGAUUAGAACCUUUAAUUUUGAAACACUACAGCAACAUUUCACCUAUCCAGAUCCACUGGUACAGCACUGUAAACCCUCUACCUUAUGAGUGUAUGAAGCCAAGUUUUCUCAAUCCAACAAAAGAACCUACCUCAGUUACCGAUACUGAAAGUGUGUCAACUGUACCAAGCCCAUCUACUUCACCGGUCAUGGUUCGACACCACUAUGGGAAGUCUAUAACAAAGAUAGGCAAAGCAAGUAUAUUAGGAGCUGCAAGUAUUGGGAAGGGCCUCGGCGGGAUGCUUUUUUCAAGAUUUGGUCGACCUAGUACAACCACGCCACAGACACUCGAGGCAGGAAAAGAUGGAGCCGAGGAGGAUGACAAGAAGGCCACAACGGCUGGGGCGCCCCUUUUACCGCCCAGCAGCAGCUCAAGCUUCCUCGAACCCGCAGUGGAACUGGAGCACAGGAUUGAUUUUGAGCUCAGGGAAGGUCUCGUGGAGAGCAGAUACUGGUCCACAGUCACAUCACACACUGCCUAUUGGUCAUCUCUGGAUAUUGCUUUUUUCCUUCUAACCUUCAUGUACAAACACGACCAAGAAGAUACAGACAAAUCCAGUACGGGCACUGUUUGAAUUUUUGAGUGGGGAUGGGGUGGGAUGGGAAAGGAAAUUUUAAAACCAGUGGCACAAAACUGAUGUUUUACUGUUAAACUGUAGUAAAUAGGGCAUGGAGGUUUCAGGUUUAAGUGCAUGUUUGGAUUUUUUCCUAUUUCUAAGGAGCAAAAUUUAUUUGUAUUUGAAAGCACUUUAUAGUUUUAAACAUUUUGCAGUGCUUAAUUAGAGCUGAAAUGAUUCCAAAUUCUUGUCAACUUUGACUGUAUAAAAAGCCAAUACAAUGUGUAGCAUCCUGUAAGCACAGUUGUGCAGUGUGCUUGGGUGACAUACUUGUUAAUGACCAUAAUUGCUGUUCAAUUCAUUAAAGUAUAAAAGAUCAGUUGAUUAAAAAAAAAUAUUAAUUUCCAUUAACAAAAAUAUAUGUUAGAUACAAACCUAAAACUGCCAUGUUCUGAUGUUUUAUGUACCAGUUAAUAACAAACGGUGGUAUCAUUUCUAGGACUUUAUUCAGCUCCGCAUCCUAUUAUCCACAGUACCAUUGAAAGACCAUUCUGACUGCUGGCUUCUGAGGGUGUGUUAUACGUGACACAUCCAGAAACUAAUGCUGAAAAAGCAUGAAGCAAAUAUUUGAAAUACUGUAAUUAUAAUUUAUUAUUAUCUCUAAUUGUUUCAUUUUAUUCCAGUGUAUAAAACAUUACUUUUUUAGAGGUUUCUUUUGACAUAAUUUAAGAACCACAUUUAUUUUCUACAGUGUGAAGACUUUUUCUCAGAAAUACAUAUCUUUGUACGACUGUUCAAAUGAAAAUAUGGCACUGUGGCACACUUUAAGUAUUUUUUCAUUAAAAAUAAAUGUUUGUGGUUUCACACAAAUGGCAUCAGUCACAUUCUUCUCAAAGGUUUCUGCCUCCACAUACGGAAAACUUGGUGAGAUGGAUCCUGUGACUGGAGUGCAGCUAUCAAUGGCUACGGGUUGUUCAGAAGAGAAGAGAUUGGCAAAUAAGGAAGAGUGGAGGGGUUGCCCUCUACAUUAAGAGAGGUACAGAGUGAGAAGAGCUGUUUCUGAAGAAUAACCAUGAGCAGGUUGAAAGCUUGUAGGUAAGAAUCGGGGACUGAGGAAACAAAGGAAACCUUGUGAUAGGUGUCUACUACAGGCUAUCAAUGAAAGCCUUCUUACUCCAGCUACAGGAGGCAUCAUGCUUGCAGGCUGUUGUCCUGCCAGGGGACUUCAACCACUCUGACAUCUGCUGGAAAAGUAGCAUGGCAAGCUGUAGGCAAUCCAAGAGACGGGAACAGGUUGC